GGAAUCUUCGGCAAUGGACGGAAGUCUGACCGAGCAACGCCGCGUGAGUGAAGAAGGUUUUCGGAUCGUAAAGCUCUGUUGUAAGAGAAGAACGAGUGUGAGAGUGGAAAGUUCACACUGUGACGGUAACUUACCAGAAAGGGACGGCUAACUACGUGCCAGCAGCCGCGGUAAUACGUAGGUCCCGAGCGUUAUCCGGAUUUAUUGGGCGUAAAGCGAGCGCAGGCGGUUAGAUAAGUCUGAAGUUAAAGGCUGUGGCUUAACCAUAGUACGCUUUGGAAACUGUUUAACUUGAGUGCAGAAGGGGAGAGUGGAAUUCCAUGUGUAGCGGUGAAAUGCGUAGAUAUAUGGAGGAACACCGGUGGCGAAAGCGGCUCUCUGGUCUGUAACUGACGCUGAGGCUCGAAAGCGUGGGGAGCAAACAGGA
rnacentral:misc_RNA from 1 species